UUGUCAAUUUUGAAUUGAUUAAUAUACGCGGGGGUUAAGGAAGCAUAUAUAUGGAAUCUGAGUUAUGUAAAUGAAAUCACAAAUCUCUAAGCAACGAAACGAAGAUCAAACACAUAAAAUAUACUGAAGACAAUUUUUUUCUCAGAAAUAAGUUUGUAUUACGUAGAUUUACACAUUGAUGACGUCAUGACUAAAAGUUGAAUGUCGUGUGAAUUUGAUCGGAAAGCAUUGUAAACAUAUUCAAAAUUUACAACUAAUCUAAGAACUCUAAUAAAUUAUUGUGGUUUGAUUUAUUGAGAAUUCAACAUAAGGAUACUGGGAGAGAUGUUAUAUAGUUUUAUCAAUCAUUCGCUGAAAGGUGCAGAAAUGGUGGACCAGCUUUGACUUUGGGAACAGGCAUGACGAUUAAAAUCCUUGAUAGCAUCUUCAGUCAUUAGAACAAUGUCAUAAGUGACAUUGGGUUCCUUGAACUCAGAGCUACAGUGUGUCUAUACGGGCAACAGAGAGAAGAAAGACAGAAAAGGAAUAGGCCAUCUCACAAAGAAGUUUUUGUUCUCUCCAAGUCAACAAAUAAAUAAGAAUGUAAUUCAUAUAUUGCCCAACACUCCCUCCACUGUUGGCAAGGCUCCGAGGUUCUUGAAUCUCCAGAUUCAGAGGGUCUUGCUGGUUGAGGCUGAUGGAGGUUUGAACCCUACACCAAGAGACAUGUAUGACGACGUUCUGGAAAAUUUACCUAAAAAAAAUUAGCAACAGGAUUAAAGAGCAUCGCGAUGAUGUUGGUUGCAAAAAGGAGGACGUACAACAGGAAACCAUGUAGUGACACACAUUGACUGAUCACCACUCUGGAGCCUUCAACAGAUGCGUAGGCAGCGGAUGUAGUGACAUCCAGUGAUCAAACCUGAGGAUAGUGUCAAAUAUGUUAAAGGCGUGACCCAAAAUGAAGUUGUGCAGAGUUUUUAUCAGCAAACACAAUUCAUGCCCCAUGCUUGUUAUUUUGCUCGUUAUGAGGUUCACAUACAGUUGAAUUUCCCUGGCAGCGCCUUACAAGGAAUAUUACUCAGUGUUUUUAAGGUGGUAUGGGAUAUUUCCAUAUUGCGACAUAUUUCCGAUUGAAAUAAAUAGAAAAUCAAGUAUAAUUUUAUUAAUCUUAUCAAAUUCAAAUUAUUUUGAUUAGUGUGUACUUUCAUUCACAUUAAUAUUGACAGUCAGGUGUCCCAUACUACCUUAAUUAUUUAAGAUAUUUCCGAAUUUGCAGUGUCAUGUGACCUGAAAUUUUUUGGAUAGUAGCUCUUUUUUUUAAUCACAAGAUUGCCCGGUUAUGGCAUGAUCGAAUGCCCGUCAAUGAGAACCUUUCCUUCUCGCAUAUAGGGAGUAAACUUCUUCAAGUUGAAGGUUUUUCAAAUGAAACAUCGGAUCUAGAGCAGCCAUGCAAACUCCUAUUAAAAUAUUUCUAAAAACAAUACUGAAAUUUCUUAUUGCUCUUACUGUCUUACAAAUCAACAACAUAGAUUUGAAUACCUUAAUAAGCAAUACAUUAUAGUAACAAAUAAAGAUUAUCAUCUAG